UACGUAGGGUGCAAGCGUUGUCCGGAAUUAUUGGGCGUAAAGAGCUCGUAGGCGGUUUGUCGCGUCUGCUGUGAAAACGCGAGGCUCAACCUCGCGCCUGCAGUGGGUACGGGCAGACUAGAGUGCGGUAGGGGAGACUGGAAUUCCUGGUGUAGCGGUGAAAUGCGCAGAUAUCGGGAGGAACACCGGUGGCGAAGGCGGUUCUCUGGGCCUGUACUGACGCUGAGGAGCGAAAGCGUGGGGAGCGAACAGG
rnacentral:rRNA from 1 species